ensembl:rRNA 5S_rRNA 5S ribosomal RNA
GCUUACGGCCAUACCACCUUAGGCAGGCACGCCCGAUCUCGUCUGAUCUCGGAAGCUAAGCAGGGUCGGGCCUGGUUAGUACUUGGAUGGGUGACCGCCUGGGAAUACCAGGUGCUGUAAGCA